GUUCAUAAGCUAAAAGCGUCCACCUGUUAGGAAUGACGGAGCGUCACCUAACAGAAGUACGAUUUCUCCCCUCCCAUUGCUAGAUCAGACCUGGGCAGCCAAGGCCUCGCCCAGAGGCUCGGUGUUGUCUGGGCAGUAGCUUGGGAUGCUCGCGCCUUCGCUGCAGGGUCGCUGCCUCAUGGUCAUAACACGGCUGCCACAGGUCCAGGCAUUGUGUCUGUGUGUAGGCCACGGAGAAACAGGGAGGAGCCACUGGCCGUAUCUGCUCCCGUUUCUCCUAAAAGCAAAAGCCCUGAAUGUCCCCCGCAGAGUGCCCUUUAGGUUCCAGGGCCACUCUUUGCUGCAAAAGAAGUGCGGAAAUAGGGAACAGAGUUGACCCAAUUGUGACCGAUCACUGGGCUGAACAUGUUGUCCCCGGGGCAGACGCUACCGCUGCAUACACAUUCUUUCCCUCUUGAUUUUUAGGAACGGACCCCUCAAUCUUAUCUGGAUUACCCCAAAUAAAGCCCAUCUCUCUAUCUCCUUUACAGGGUAAAAAUUAGUAACAGGAAACCCCACUGAAAUGGAGUGGGGAGGUUUGGCGGGGGGAGCUCCCAGCCCUAGCUCGUGGUCAGUUGCAGACGCAACGGGAAGAGACAGACUUGACCUUGCAUACUUCCCUUGUCCACCGACAGCUCCGCCGACGAGAAACCACCACACUUGGAACGCCUGGUUUCCUCCGAUGGACUUUUAGUUCAUAACCACCUUCCCAACCGAUCUCUUUUCUCCUUAAAAAAGCAUACCUCUCCCUUGUUCCCCAGAUUUGCCUACAGUCUCACCACCGCUUACUGUCCUGGGCUGUGAAUCUCUCUUCUUCCCCAAUAAACCCAUCUGUAGGUGGGGAAGUAACUGGCAGUUCGACGUUUGAGGUUGACCACGGCCAGGCGUGCCCACGCGCCUAGGCUCUGCUCCUGCACCUUGACUCGCUGGAGUUUCUUGGCUGAGAAGGAGGGGAGUGGCAGGAGCCCUGGCCUUCUGCCGGGCAGCUGAGUGGCCCACGGUCCCACGGCACCAUCCCCGACCCGCUCAUCCGACGGGCUGCUGGCCCUCCCCAGACAAAAACCUUCUCACCAUCUCCAGCUUUUCCCCUCAGGUGGUGGUGAGACCACGGCAGGCCCGUCCCAGGCCUGGGCUGUGGCACGGGGGGCCUCAGAGGUCAGCACUGAAUUGUGUAACUAACACCCAUCUUGAGAAUCAUAUACACGGACCAUCAGGAAUGUCAACACUUGGAAUGGUGUUGUCCCCCGGAAAGUUCUGUCAGGCAAGGCCUCUCCGCCUGCUACAGAGGUCACCGUGGCUCAGACUCAUCGUUCCUGUUCCACAAUCACAGGAAAUGAAUGUCUCUUACGUAUCCGAUGCCCAUUUGGGGCCCUUCUGAAUGAAGCUGCUCUUCACUCUCGCGUGCGAGGACUCGUGUCAACAUAGGUUUCUCACUUCUCCUGGGCAAACAGAGUGGAAUUUCUGGUUUGGCGGGCAAUGAAAUACAAAACUCAAGAUAAUUAUACAAAACAAAAGAAGUUACAUGACGAUUCCAAAUUGUGUGAUGGUUCUAAACCAGGAAUCUAGGUCUGAAAGGAGCCAACUGAAAUAUUAAUUGGCAUUUAUUCCGACUUAGAGGGGAAAGGUUCUCCUUACAAGGGCAAAGCUGGAGUCCUGUAUACCUUCCGGAAGUUUCUGCCUGGAGCAGCCACGAAAGCUGACUAGUGGACUGCAAGAGCUGGGAGAACUAACCAAGUACGUUUGGGAAGAUACUGUGUAGAUAUAAAUAUGAAACAACAGCUGAUGAACUUUUUGCAAAAACAGCACAACUUCGGAGACAUUGUAAAACAGUGUUGUCAUCUCAAAAGAACUGUUUGGAACCAAAUCUGCUAUGGAUAAACAGCCUGUAAGCCUGCCAACUCGGAGACCAUGAAUUUGGAUAAGAAUCCAAAGUCAGUUAAUAGGUCAGAAGAAAGAAGGCUUUGUGAAUUCUGAAAUUUCCAACCCUUUGAAGAAUGCAAGGGAAAAUGAACCUGUCCCGGGAUAAUAAUGAGGCUGUUUCUAAAAGACACACUCAAAAGAAGUUUCCCCCUUUCACAAGGAUUUGGAUAAAGCAGUCUUGUCUUCCUACAAAAGAGAGAGGAAAACAGUGAGAAGAAGGUGUACUGGCCUGGUCCAGACAUCGCGGGAAAGCUGUGUGGUCAGAUGUCAUCUGCUUCAAUUCUGGGAAAUCUGUACUUUGGGGUCACCAGAUGGCAUGCAGGGCCAGUCAGGGUUUGGUGCUUUCUUUGCAUGUCUUACAUGAAUCCGAGAGCGUAUUCCCUGGAGUUCGGCGGCACUUUCCAGCGAGAGUGAAGAGAGUCUUUCUGGAGGCACCUUUUCUGACAGACGAAAUCUCCAGGUUGCAAGGGGUGAUGCAGGUCAUUGUCCCCCUGGGAGCGCACUGUGGAAAGAUCGCUCUGCCAAACCAUGGUUAUUUUUAAUAGAAGCAGCUAGGCCUUGAGACCACCGAACUGGAUCUCCCUUUUUCAGCUGUGGGUCAGAGGAGGCAGGGGCCACGCGGGCCAGAUGUCCUGGGACUCUCUGGGGGCGGUGAGAGUCGAGGAGUUCCAAAGAGAGUGGAUCUGAGAUUUAGAAGGAUCCACAGCAGUGCUUUCGGCCAAGGUGUGCGGACGGUCUCCACAGAUGUUGCCAAUUGAGACUUCGUGAUGCUGUCAGUGAGCGUGACUAACUGUGAGGACUGAGGAUGGUGUGCACCGUGCAAGUGUUGUUAACACCCGCCCAACAGUGCAGAUUUGUCGAAGCACCUGACCGGUGAAACGGGUUCCCCGAUCGCUGUGAAGUUGGAGAGGGGUCCCCAGGCAGGGAUUCUCUUUCUCACAGAAUUUUAGCCACAGAAGAAGCAGUGGCCUGUCUACAAGGGAAAGCUUCGGUCCAAUGACAAACAUACAGACCGCAACUAAAAUGUGUUUCUAUCCCCGAGAUAGGGAAGCUGCAGGAGAUCCACUUGCCAAACUGGAGUGGCCCUGCAGGCAGUCCAGAGUCUGGGAGCCGUGCAGUUUUCCCCGGACUAUGCUUUGAACAUAGGGAUAAGCAUGGUAGGCAUUGUGGAUUCUGCCAAUAUCCGUGGAGAUUUUGCCCAUAAGGAGGGUGGCAGCUGAUCUAAUCGAGAAUAAUGAUUAGUGUCUUUGGAAUCAGCUCCGGUUAGCUUAGAGAUGGAGCAAAAAAAACAUGUUGAAGGGCUAUUUGAUUUACUUCUUUGGAUACUUUGAUGGCUCCUGUCACUCGAGAACGAUUUCCCCCUUUGGGGAGGAAGAAAUUCCAGCAUGAAAUUUUUCUAAGAGAUCUCAGCCCAAUAAGUGACUAGGGGCAGAGGAACUAAAGAGAAAAGGGCAUGUAUCUCUCAAAGGGCCUGGACGGAGGGACAGGGCUCAGGGACAGGCACCUGUUUGGGUGAUUAGAGGUCCCACUCUGGGAGCUGUUUGCGCUCCAAGGCAUGGGCUGCCUCGUGGUGGUGGGCUGAACACUGAGAGUCAAUACAGACGGAGAUUCACUCCCAGUCUGGAGGGUGGUUUCUCCGGGUGGAAUAAGAGGGAGGACUGGGAAAAGCCAAGAGUUCCUUAGAGCCCCAGCACUGGGACUUAGGAGGACACUGGGCGGGUUUGGUCAGAGGGUCGGAGGUGCUGGAGCACUUACACUGAUAACAGUGUUUCCCCCAAUGUCCUGGCCCUUUGCAAUAACAGUAAAAACCAUGAGGUUUUUGGCUUUGGGGGCCUCCAUUUGCCAGAGCUGAAAAUUGAGAAUUUUAGCGGCCUUUGUUUUAGGUGACUCAUCCAGGAUUGGAGCAAGCUAGCUUGCCAAAUUGACUAAAUCUGGGGCAGACGUAGUUUCACAUUCCAUGCUGGUCCUAUUAACUAAAAGAGAAAGGUCCCAGUUUGGCCCCUUAAAAAACAUAGUUAAGUGAUGCCUGGUUGGAUUCAACAUCUAAAGGAAGACCAGAACUUUCUUUAAACACCAUUUGGAAUCAGUGAGCAUAACCUAACAAAUCGACUUGUUGGAUCACUGUGUUGUACACCCGAAACUAGGGUAAAGUUGUGUGUCAACUCUAUUUCAAUAAAACAAGCAACAGAAGAUUGAAAGAUUUUGACUAAUAUUCUUUCAAACUACCAUCUGUCAUAAGCAAAACAGAAAAACAGCAAAUAAACUGGGGGAAAAACGUGGAACUAUAUGACAGUUAAAUUGUCAAUAUUUUUGGAUAUUAAAAGUUAUUUUAAGUCAAUAAUGUAAAGCCAAAUAUUCCAAUGAAAAUAUAGAAGAAAAAACAACAAAAAAGAAAAUAUAGAAGUAAGAAAUGAACAGAUAAUGCAUGAAAGAAAAAAAAUACCAAAGACUUACAAUAUAAAAGAUAUUUUACAGUAAUAAAUAAAUACUUCUAAUCACGGAAUCAACUCUAUUGGCCGUGUUGACCUAGAAAAUGUGUAUUAACUUUCUAUGCCUCAAUUUACUAAUUUGUGAAAUUGGGAUUAAAAUUAGUAACUAAUUUACAAAGUUUUUGUGAGAUGAUAUAAGAUAAAUAUA